GCAGGUUGAAGCGCGGGUAAGACCGCGUGGAGGACCGAACCCACCUGGGUUGAAAACCGGGGGGAUGACCUGGGGCUAGGGGUGAAAGGCCAAUCAAAUUCCGUGAUAGCUGGUUCUCUCCGAAAUGCAUUUAGGUGCAGCGUCGGUCGAUUGCGUCGCGGGGGUAGAGCUACCGGAUGCUUGCGGGCCCUUGUUGGGUACCAACAGCAGCCGAACUCCGAAUACCGUUGACGUGUAUUCCGGCAGUGAGUCGGCGGGGGAUAAGCUCCGUCGUCGAGAGGGAGACAGCCCAGACCGUCGUCUAAGGUCCCGAAGCGUGUGCUAAGUGGGAAAGGAUGUGGAGUCGCAUAGACAGCCAGGAGGUUGGCUCAGAAGCAGCCAUCCUUGAAAGAGUGCGUAACAGCUCACUGGUCUAGUGGUUCCGCGCCGACAAUGUAGCGGGGCUCAAGCACACCACCGAAGACGCGGCAGCAAUCUUCAUGGUUGCUGGGUAGGAGAGCGUCCUGCGAGGGGCGAAGCGGCGGUGGAAACCGGCCGUGGACUUCGUGGGAGUGAGAAUGCAGACAUGAGUAGCGAGAGACGGGUGAGGAUCCCGUCCGCUGGAUGACCAAGGGUUCCGGGGCCACGUUCGUCGUCCCCGGGUGAGUCGGGUCCUAAGGCGAGGCCGACAGGCGUAGUCGAAUGGAUGAACGGGUGGAUAUUCCCGUACCGACCAUGGACCGGCAAAACCGAGACGGUGAGUACUAACCUCCGCCUCGUGGUGGUUCCUUCCUUCGGGUUGGUGUCGCCGCGUGGCGUUGGGACCGUAGCCGUAGUAGGUCAGCGCAGGGGUGACACGGAAUGGGAGCCGGCCGCGGAGGUGGUUUUCCGUGGUCAAGCACGCAGCCAGUCAUGUAGGCAAAUCCGCAUGGCGCGCAUGGCGAGGUGUGAUGAUGGGAGCCUUUUGGGCUCGAUAUCCGGUUGUCCAGGCCGUCGAGAAAAGCCUCGGCGUGAGGGCCAUGGCCGCCCGUACCCCAAACCGACACUGGUGGUCAGGUAGAGAAUACCAAGGCGAUCGAGCGAAUCCUGGUCAAGGAACUCGGCAAAUCACUCCCGUGCCUUCGGUAUAAGGGAGACCCGCUGGGGUGAACCGGCUAGCCCGGGGAGCUUUGGUGGGUGGCACAGACCAGGGGGUAGCGACUGUUUACCAAAAACACAGGUGCAUGCGAAGGCGAAAGCCGCUGUAUAUGCACUGACGCCUGCCCGGUGCCGGAAGGUUAAGAGGAUCCGUCAAUCCCUUCGGGGACGAAGCGGUGAAUUCAAGCCCCGGUAAACGGCGGUGGUAACUAUAACCAUCCUAAGGUAGCGAAAUUCCUUGUCGGGUAAGUUCCGACCUGCACGAAUGGCGUAACGACUUCCCCACUGUCUCGACCAGGAGCUCGGCGAAAUUGCAGUACGAGUAAAGAUGCUCGUUAAGCGCAGAAGGACGAAAAGACCCCGGGACCUUUACUAUACCUUGGUAUUGGCGUUAGGCGCGGAUUGUGUAGCAUAGGCGGGAGGCUUCGAAGCGGGUGCGCCAGCAUUCGUGGAGCCGCAAGGUGAAAUACCGCUCUGUUCUCGUUUGACGUCUAACCUCGACAAGUCAUCCUUGUCAGGGACAGUGCCUGGCGGGUAGUUCAACUGGGGCGGUUGCCUCCCAAAGAGUAACGGAGGCGCUCAAAGGUCCGCUCAGCCCGGUUGGCAAUCGGGUGUCGAGUGUAAUCGCACAAGCGGGCUUGACUGCGAGGACGACGGUCCGAGCAGGGACGAAAGUCGGAGAUAGUGAUCCGGUGCCGGCGCACGGGCGCGGCAUCGCUCAACGGAUAAAAGGUACCCCGGGGAUAACAGGCUGAUCAUUCCCAAGAGUCCAUAUCGACGGGAUGGUUUGGCACCUCGAUGUCGGCUCGUCGCAUCCUGGGGCUGGAGCAGGUCCCAAGGGUUCGGCUGUUCGCCGAUUAAAGCGGCACGCGAGCUGGGUUCAGAACGUCGUGAGACAGUUUGGUCUCUAUCCUCUGCGCUCGUUGGAAUCCUGAGGAGGCCUGCCCAUAGUACGAGAGGACCUGGGUGGACGAACCUCUGGUAUGCCGGUUGUC
rnacentral:rRNA from 1 species